AUUGAACGCUGGCGGAAUGCUUUACACAUGCAAGUCGAACGGCAGCACGGGGCAACCUGGUGGCGAGUGGCGAACGGGUGAGUAAUAUAUCGGAACGUGCCCAAUCGUGGGGGAUAACGUAGCGAAAGUUACGCUAAUACCGCAUACGAUCUACGGAUGAAAGCGGGGGAUCGCAAGACCUCGCGCGAAUGGAGCGGUCGAUAUCAGAUUAGGUAGUUGGUGGGGUAAAGGCUCACCAAGCCAACGAUCUGUAGCUGGUCUGAGAGGACGACCAGCCACACUGGAACUGAGACACGGUCCAGACUCCUACGGGAGGCAGCAGUGGGGAAUUUUGGACAAUGGGCGCAAGCCUGAUCCAGCCAUUCCGCGUGCAGGAUGAAGGCCUUCGGUUGUAACUAGCUUUGUUACGGAACGAAACGGUACUGCCCUAACUAACGGCGGGCGUAAUGACGGUACCGUAACGAAUAAGCACCGGCUAACUACGUGCCAGCAGCCGCGGUAACUGU
rnacentral:rRNA from 1 species